GGGAAUGUGGCUUAGUGGUACAGUGCCUGCCUAGCAUGCAUGAAGCCCUGGGUUCAAUUCCUCAGUACCA
rnacentral:tRNA from 1 species